UGAGUGGCCAGCGACUUAUUGC
rnacentral:misc_RNA from 1 species